UGCUUCACUGGAAGUUCCUACAAUGAAGAUUAUACUCUGUUACCAGACCCCAGCACGUUGUUGCCGAUUUUGUCCUGUAUGUUCAAAAAACAUGAAAUCCUGUUGAGAAGAAAAACAAACAGAGAAUAAUUAAGUCUUCACCCAAUCCAGGAACCUGAUUUAUGAAAAUCAAAAAGAAUUUUUAACAAUCCAGAUAUUCAAGUAAGAAGCAGAAAUAACUGCACUGAUGGAAGUAUCCAGACAGAAGAAUAGGCAGGCAAUUAAGUUUCAUCAUCAAUGGUAUUUAAGGCAUGCCUGUUAGAUUAAAGUCUUAUAUGGAAUGUCUGAAAUCUGCAGCCUUGUAGAUUGGAUAAGACAGUGUAAAGUUGUCUUUCCAAUAUUGGAUUUCUUUUGAAUUAUUUUUAACUCCAAAGUAGUAUUGUCUACAAUUACUUGUAGAACCAAUUUGGUCUAGUGGUUAAGGUGCUGACCUAGGAACCAGGACAUAUGGUCCUGCCUUAGGCAGGAAAGUGGCUGGUUGGCUUUUGGAUAGUCAAUUGCUCUUAGCCCAAUUCCCAAAGAUAAUUGUGGAAGAAAUUGGAGAAGGAAGAAAUAUUAGGUAUGUUCACUGCCUUGAAUAUUUAUAAUAAUAAAGGAGGGAAAAUAAACAAACUUUCUUCCAAAAUCUUAAGUUAGUAGGAGAAGGCAUAUAUACAUUGUGAAAGUCUUGGAUAACCAACCAAAGGUUAAUUAAAUGACUUAUUUCUCAUGGUAUUUACAAAUAAUUAAAUUUGUUUAUUAAACAUA